rnacentral:rRNA from 1 species
GAGUUUGAUCCUGGCUCAGGACGAACGCUGGCGGCGUGCUUAACACAUGCAAGUCGAACGGAAAGGUCUCUUCGGAGAUACUCGAGUGGCGAACGGGUGAGUAACACGUGGGCGAUCUGCCCUGCACUUCGGGAUAAGCCUGGGAAACUGGGUCUAAUACCGGAUAGGACCACGGGAUUCAUGUCCUGUGGUGGAAAGCUUUUGCGGUGUGGGAUGGGCCCGCGGCCUAUCAGCUUGUUGGUGGGGUAACGGCCUACCAAGGCGACGACGGGUAGCCGGCCUGAGAGGGUGUCCGGCCACACUGGGACUGAGAUACGGCCCAGACUCCUACGGGAGGCAGCAGUGGGGAAUAUUGCACAAUGGGCGCAAGCCUGAUGCAGCGACGCCGCGUGGGGGAUGACGGCCUUCGGGUUGUAAACCUCUUUCACCAUCGACGAAGGUUCGGGUUUUCUCGGAUUGACGGUAGGUGGAGAAGAAGCACCGGCCAACUACGUGCCAGCAGCCGCGGUAAUACGUAGGGUGCGAGCGU